UAAUAGAUUAUUGAUUUUUAUCAUAUAUGCAUUCAAUUGGGAAUGUGUUUCUACCUGGAACCGUAAAUUCCAGACUAUGAUAGAAAGUUCUUUUUGG
rnacentral:ncRNA from 1 species